rnacentral:rRNA from 1 species
GACGAACGCUGGCGGCGUGCCUAAUACAUGCAAGUAGAACGCUGAAGAGAGGAGCUUGCUCUUCUUGGAUGAGUUGCGAACGGGUGAGUAACGCGUAGGUAACCUGCCUUGUAGCGGGGGAUAACUAUUGGAAACGAUAGCUAAUACCGCGUAACAAUGGAUGACACAUGUCAUUUAUUUGAAAGGGGCAAUUGCUCCACUACAAGAUGGACCUGCGUUGUAUUAGCUAGUAGGUGAGGUAAUGGCUCACCUAGGCGACGAUACAUAGCCGACCUGAGAGGGUGAUCGGCCACACUGGGACUGAGACACGGCCCAGACUCCUACGGGAGGCAGCAGUAGGGAAUCUUCGGCAAUGGGGGCAACCCUGACCGAGCAACGCCGCGUGAGUGAAGAAGGUUUUCGGAUCGUAAAGCUCUGUUGUAAGUCAAGAACGGGUGUGAGAGUGGAAAGUUCACACUGUGACGGUAGCUGACCAGAAAGGGACGGCUAACUACGUG